rnacentral:rRNA from 1 species
CGUCGUCAAAAGGGAAACAACCCAGACCGCCAGCUAAGGUCCCAAAAUCACAUCUCAGUGGGAAACGAUGUGGGAAGGCAUAGACAGCUAGGAGGUUGGCUUAGAAGCAGCCAUCCUUUAAAGAAAGCGUAAUAGCUCACUAGUCGAGUCGGCCUGCGCGGAAGAUGUAACGGGGCUAAACUAGUCACCGAAGCUGCGGGUGUGCACUUGUGCACGCGGUAGAGGAGCGUUCUGUAAGCCGUUGAAGGUGAAUCGAGAGGUUUGCUGGAGGUAUCAGAAGUGCGAAUGCUGACAUGAGUAACGAUAAGGGGAGUGAAAAACUUCCCCGCCGAAAGACCAAGGGUUCCUGUCCAACGCUAAUCGGGGCAGGGUGAGUCGACCCCUAAGGCGAGGCUGAGAAGCGUAGUCGAUGGGAAACGGGUUAAUAUUCCCGUACUUGCAAUAACUGCGAUGGAGAGACGGAGAAGGCUAGGCGUACCGGGCGUUGGUUGUCCCGGGGAAAGUGCGUAGGCCGAGGACUUAGGAAAAUCCGGGUCCUUAAAGCUGAGACACGAGACCACUGCCCAUGUGGCGGGAAGUCGUCGAUGCCAAGCUUCCAGGAAAUACCUUCUAAGCUUCAGGUUAUUGUGAAUCGUACCCCAAACCGACACAGGUGGUCGGGUAGAGAAUACCAAGGCGCUUGAGAGAACUCGGGUGAAGGAACUAGGCAAAAUGGUGCCGUAACUUCGGGAGAAGGCACGCUGCUGACCGUGAAGGACUUGCUCCGUAAGCGGACGGCAGUCGCAGAUACUAGGUCCCUGCAACUGUUUAUUAAAAACACAGCACUGUGCAAACACGAAAGUGGACGUAUACGGUGUGACGCCUGCCCGGUGCCGGAAGGUUAAUUGAUGGGGUUAUCUUCGGAGAAGCUCUUGAUCGAAGCCCCGGUAAACGGCGGCCGUAACUAUAACGGUCCUAAGGUGAAAUAACGCACGCCUUAGUAAAACCAAACCAUAUGCGGGAAACUCCUCCAAAACUGUUCAGUACUCGUUGAAUCACUGAAAAACUCCAAAAGGUUAAGUUAGGCCUCGUAAAGUUUUCCAAUCGAUGAUUCGGCAGUCAAAAUCUGACAGACAUGGGGACAAUCCGCAGGAAAGACCUGGUACUAGCGUAUCAGGAAUCCUCAGAGACUUUAUGUUUGGGAGUACUUUAUGAAAUUAGAAGCACAGUGGAUUGUUGGCUUUGUUGAUGGUGAAGGCUGUUUUCAUAUCAGCGUCAACAAGAACGACACGAUGACACUCGGUUUUCAGGUGUUACCUGAAUUCACCGUGGUACAACACGAACAAGAUGUUAAGGUGCUGCACGCACUGAAAGCAUUCUUUAAGUGUGGUGUAGUGCGGGUAAACCGAAAAGAUAAAACAUCCACCCGGAUGGCUUAUCGAGUCAGAAAUGUUAAGCACCUACUGGAUAUAAUUUCCCCUUUCUUUCUUGAACAUCAACUAAAAACACAGAAACAUGUGGAAUUUAGAAAAUUCCGCAAAGUGCUUUUAAUGAUGGACAAGGGCAAACAUCUGACUCAGGAAGGUCUCGACGAAAUUCGAGGCAUUACUGAAAAGAUAAACCGCAAAAAGAUAGGAUAGUACUCAAGAGAAAGUCCGACUUUUCUGGAAACAGAUAAGAUUAUUCGAAUGAAAUUCCUUGUCGGGUAAGUUCCGACCUGCACGAAUGGUGUAAUGACUCGAAUGCUGUCUUGGCGGGAGGCCUGGUGAAAUUGUACUACCGGUGAAGAUACCGGUUACCUACAGUAGGACGGAAAGACCCCGUGGAGCUUUACUAUAGCUUGGUAUUGGGUUGAGAUGUUAUGUGUAUAGGAUAGUUGGGAGACUGUGAAUGUGUGGCGCUAGCUGCAUAUGAGUCGCUGGUGGAAUACCAACCAUAUAACAUUUUGAUUCUAAUCUGUGAUGUGUAAUCAUGGAGACAGUGCUAGGUGGGUAGUUUGACUGGGGCGGUCGCCUCCGAAAGAGUAACGGAGGCGUUCAAAGGUUCCCUCAGGUUGGAUGGAAAUCAACCGAAGAGUGCAAUGGCAUAAGGGAGCUUGACUGUGAGAUAGACACAUCGAGCAGGUGCGAAAGCAGGACAUAGUGAUCCGGUGGUUCCGAAUGGAAGGGCCAUCGCUCAACGGAUAAAAGCUACCCCGGGGAUAACAGGCUGAUUUUGCCCGAGAGUCCAUAUCGACGGCAAAGUUUGGCACCUCGAUGUCGGCUCAUCGCAUCCUGGGGCUGGAGAAGGUCCCAAGGGUUGGGCUGUUCGCCCAUUAAAGCGGUACGUGAGCUGGGUUCAGAACGUCGUGAGACAGUUCGGUCCCUAUCCACUGUAGGCGUAAGAAUAUUGAUGAGAUCUGUCCUUAGUACGAGCGGACCGGGAUGGACAAACCUCUAAUGUACCAGUUGUCAUGCCAAUGGCAUAGCUGGGUAGUCACGUUUGGAAUGGAUAACCGCUGAAAGCAUCUAAGCGGGAAGCCAACUCAGAGAUAAGUAUUCUAUCAUUGAUAAGUCACCUUCGAGACUAGGAGGUUGAUAGGUUGGGGGUGUAAGGGCUGUGAAGUCUUUAGCUGACCAAUACUAAUAUGACGAACACUUUACCUAA